ACAUCUCUAGAACCCUUGGCUAGAGAAAAUGACUAAAACGCCCUUCGGCACCAGUGUGACACGCCAAACGAGGUAAUAAAAUUAAAUAAAUUCAGAAAAUUUGAAAAAAAUGCACGAAAAUGGAAAAUAGAAAAAUGGGAAACUUCACACUCAUGGCAGGCCCUCCUACAAAGCUAAAAAGCUAAGUUCGCUGUUCCGUUCCGCCAUUAAAACCACCUCCAAAGUCGACGAUGAAACCCUAAAAAAGUUCGUCUCAUCCAUAGAUAAUAGUUCAUCUCCUGUCGCUCAACGUUCCAUUAAGAUUAGGUAACCGCAUAAUAAGCCACCAUCUCCAUCUCCAUCCCAAUCCAACAACUUCGAUGCAGCACCGUCACAUCCUCUUGCAGAGCAUUACUAUCAAGGGAGAUAUCUGCCUUAUUAUGCGGUGGUACAGAUUCCGAUUUGGUUAGUUCACCUGAUUCACAAAAAUGCAAAAGAUCAAUGCUACCACCGUGUUCAAGUUAGCUGCAGUUGCCCAGACAAUGCCGAGGACCACAAUUACUAGCUUCCAUAUCCUGAUCGAAGAAUAUGCAAGGAAUAUGUUUCACCGAAUAUGGGAGAACUAUCUUCUGUAUUUUUUUUUUUUUUUUUCCCCUUUUAAAUAAAAAAUAUAUAUGGAUAAAAAAGCAGCAAAAAUGGUAAAAUGGGGGUUCCAACUACCUCAUGGUAUGAUUCAAUAAUAUAUGAAUAACGUUUUCCGAAUAAAAGG